CCAUCUUAAAUUUUCGUAGGAUUUCAUAUCUCUUUGUAAAGAACCCGAAGUUUCAUUAGCAAUUCAUGCAUAAAUUACUGAACAUAAAAAUAUUCGGAAACAAACCACUUGAACAAAAUUAUCUUACCUCAUUUAUUGGAAGGUUGUAAAAUAACGCAUGUGAAAACCCUUUUCCUAUAUUUCUAUCUCUGCCUCAACUCUCUCUGACCAUGUCUAUUAAUAAAUACUCCGUGGUGAAAAUUUCUUGACAUCAUGGAAUAUUUAUAGUGAAAAAUAAAUAUUUACAAAUUGAGUUUUAAUACAAUAGCAAUACAAAAGCUGUGUAAC
rnacentral:lncRNA from 1 species